rnacentral:tRNA from 1 species
UGGGAUAGCUCAGUUGGUAGAGCAUCUCCAUGGUAAGGAGAAGGUCGUGGGUUCGACUCCCAUUCCC